rnacentral:lncRNA from 1 species
CAGGAAUGCAAAGUGUUGUCCCGAGAUGCCUAAUACCAGUUCUGGGUCUCACUCUGUGGACAUUGCAUUCAGACUGCAUCAAAUUAAGCUCAAUUAUUUCCACUGCUCAGCAGAUUUCACCAAAGUACAUGGAAGAAUGGCUGCAAAGACUACUCCCCAGAGAAAGAAGCAUGAAUUCUGAGGCAACAGCACAGAGCAGAUACUUAGCUUGUAUAAAUCAGCAGAUCUGCAUUCAUGUGAAAGGAAUGAUGACAGCUGAGGAAGUGGCUGAAGGUUUCCUGCUUGACUUGAACAGAACAUCCACUCUCUGGCCAAUAUCCCUCUGCAUUUAAUUUGGCCACACUUCUUUUUUUGCACAGGACUAAAAAGUUU